rnacentral:rRNA from 1 species
GCCAGACUCCUACGGGAGGCAGCAGUGGGGGAUAUUGCACAAUGGGGGGAACCCUGAUGCAGCGACGCCGCGUGGGUGAAGGAGCGUUUCGGCGCGUAAAGCCCUAUCGGCAGGGAAGAAGGAGGACGGUACCUGACUAAGAAGCCCCGGCUAACUACGUGCCAGCAGCCGCGGUAAUGCGUAGGGGGCAAGCGUUAUCCGGAUUUACUGGGUGUAAAGGGGGCGCAGACGGCGAUGCAAGCCAGGAGUGAAAGCCCGGGGCCCAACCCCGGGACUGCUCUUGGAACUGCGUGGCUGGAGUGCAGGAGGGGCAGGCGGAAUUCCUGGUGUAGCGGUGAAAUGCGUAGAUAUCAGGAGGAACACCGGUGGCGAAGGCGGCCUGCUGGACUGCAACUGACGUUGAGGCCCGAAAGCGUGGGGAGCAAACAGGAUUAGAUACCCCAGUAGAU